rnacentral:misc_RNA from 1 species
UUAACUAUUAUAAUUUACUCAGACGACACUAUAACAAGAGUUUGGAUCCUCUGGCGGGCACUAUCAGCCGGAGCCGACGCCGAAGCGGCCCGCCAAAGCAACAAAGAAGGUAGACACGGGUUGUAGUAUAUCCCUAAAGCGCAUUGCUGCAAACUCCGCGAGAGUCAGCGCCAGCGGCCUUUCGGCGGCCAGAUGACCCCACCCCCAUCCUUCCAACCCGUAGGCUGGACGACUUGAAGGCAGUUAAACACGUGGGGCGAUCCGAACCUUUCAGACGGACACAACUAUUAAUGAUCCUUCCGCAGGUUCACCUACGGAAA